ACUUCAGUUGCUGGUACAUGUGUGCUGUUUGGUCUUCUGACUGUCAGUGAGCAAAGGGAUGUUCCCUAAAAACACCACAGUAGUGGACUGGAAAAUUGGAAGCUACGCUGCCCUUCUGUUGGGGUGUGGGCAGGAAGGUAAGGUGAGGCCCAGGGGCUUCCAACUGGAUGAGAGGGAAGGAUGGAGAUUUGGCAAGGGAAGGGUGAGGCACAGGAAGGGCCCCACUUGUGGCUUUUUGGGUUGAGGCCAGCUAGUCUGCCAGCCCACCUGCACCACAAAGAACUAGCUUUCCUUGCAGGCUUAAAAUGCAGGUUACCCAAGGAGCUGCAGCCACACUCACCUGUCAUGGCGCCUGCCUAAAAUGGCGGCACCCCAGCAGGCGGAAGGGCGUGGCCUGCCUCAGUUCCACAGGUGUCUGCUCACUGGAGACUGCAAAGAAAUGUCUGCCAAAAUGUAUGGAAACAUGGACCUGUUCCUUCUCUUCCUUCACUUUCAGUCAUCGGGUAGAGCAGAGAUUGAAAGAUAUCAGUCAGAAAUGCUUGGCUGUGCUUCUGAUAGAAGCAGAAGUCUGUCCGAACCAAAAUGCAGUGUGCCAUGAGGGGGACGGUUUACAUUUGAGGGGCCUUCUUCCCCAGGGAGGAGAGUGCUGUGAGCACCCCAGCGAGCGGCUGCGUGCAGGGAAUGGCGCUGUGCUGGGAAAAUGAGGCCUGCAAAUUUACAGUGGCGUUUCUUCCUUGUUGACAGGUAGUAAAAGCUAUCCCCAGAGUGCCUACUGCUCCUUAGAAGCAAACCAUCCCUUGCUAGAGCCCAGUUCUCAAAGCCUUUAUCAAAGCAGCAGUGUUUUGAGGCAUUGGGCUGUUUUUAUCUUGCCAUGUCUUUCCUCAGGCUAAACCAGACUCUGCAAUGACAAAAACUUAGUUUGCUCCUGAGAUGUCAGAACUUUCUGCUUCCUGCGACACAAAUCAUGGCUGCUUUUACAGCGAUAAGGAAAUUGAUUCUUCUGCCUGAUCAUUUUGAUCCUUUAUCAGCCUUCUCAGUCCUGAAGGGCUAUCAUGAAAGCUAAUUGGAUUUUCUCCCAGGUUGUUUAUUUGUGAA
ensembl:lncRNA